CAUAGCCAUGGGAAGCCACAGGAAUUUCUGCAGGGGUGUGGGGCAUAAUUGUAAUGACAUCCAUACUUGCCCCCUUUUUGACAGGGAAGGGGCAUAGUCAUUAUCAUAUAAAGCCAGGAUAAAUAGCGUAUUCACAACUGUGGUGUCAGGAAUAUAUUUUUCGAUUCCUGAUACUAUAGUGUUCAGGGGUCAAGUCCUGGGGGGAAAAGUGUGGGAACUCACCCAAGAUCUCACCCCACCUCCCACGCCUCUAAAAAUAUAAUUAAAAAAAAUACACUCCUAUGCAUAUGUGUAUACUGAAUGUAGUGUGUUUGUAGUGAGUGCAGAGUGUGUAUAAUGAAUGUAGUGUGUUUGUAGUAAAGUGCAGUGUGUAUAAUAAAUGUACUGUGUAGUGAGUGCAGUGUGUGUAUGAAUGUAGUGUGUAGUGAGUGCAGAGUGUGUAUAAUGAAUGUAGUGUGUUUGUAGUGAGUGCAGUGUGUAUAAUAAACGC